rnacentral:rRNA from 1 species
UUGUCUCUAGUUGCUACGAAAGGGCACUCUAGAGAGACUGCCGGUGACAAACCGGAGGAAGGUGGGGAUGACGUCAAGUCCUCAUGGCCCUUAUGGGUAGGGCUUCACACGUCAUACAAUGGUGCAUACAGAGGGUUGCCAAGCCGCGAGGUGGAGCUAAUCCCAGAAAAUGCAUCGUAGUCCGGAUCGUAGUCUGCAACUCGACUACGUGAAGCUGGAAUCGCUAGUAAUCGCGGAUCAGCAUGCCGCGGUGAAUACGUUCCCGGGUCUUGUACACACCGCCCGUCACACCAUGGGAGUGGGUUUUGCCAGAAGUAGUUAGCCUAACCGCAAGGGGGGCGAUUACCACGGCAGGGUUCAUGACUGGGGUGAAGUCGUAACAAGGUAGCCGUAUCGGAAGGUGCGGCUGGAUCACCUCCUUUA